rnacentral:rRNA from 1 species
CAGCCGCCGCGGGAAAACGUAGGGUGCGAGCGUUAAUCGGAAUUACUGGGCGUAAAGCGUGCGCAGGCGGUUGUGUAAGACAGGUGUGAAAUCCCCGGGCUUAACCUGGGAACUGCGCUUGUGACUGCACAGCUAGAGUAUGGCAGAGGGGGUGGAAUUCCACGUGUAGCAGUGAAAUGCGUAGAUAUGUGGAGGAAUACCGAUGGCGAAGGCAGCCCCCUGGGAUAACACUGACGCUCAUGCACGAAAGCGUGGGGAGCAAACAGGAUUAGAUACCCCCGUAGUCCCUGUCUCUUAUACA